AACGAUGAAUUAUCAAGCUACACUGAUUUUUAAGUACUAGCUGGCAACAAGGAUGUUUUGAGAGCGUAUGCCACAUUGUAAAACCAACCGUAAAGUUUACUAAAAAGGAGAAAAAGAUAAAUGAUAUCAAUAUCAAUCAAGAUAUGACGAAUAUUUAUUAAUUAAUAUGAUAUUUAUAGUAAUAAUAAUAAUACACUUUAAUAUAUCGGAUUCUUUAUUCAGGCACAGACAUUCUUCAAAUAGGAUGCGGGUAUUUCCGAAAAUAGCUUAAUAUA